GACGAACGCUGGCGGCGUGCCUAAUACAUGCAAGUAGAACGCACAGUUUAUACCGUAGCUUGCUACACCAUAGACUGUGAGUUGCGAACGGGUGAGUAACGCGUAGGUAACCUGCCUGGUAGCGGGGGAUAACUAUUGGAAACGAUAGCUAAUACCGCAUAAUAUUGAUUAUUGCAUGAUAAUCGAUUGAAAGAUGCUAUUGCAUCACUACCAGAUGGACCUGCGUUGUAUUAGCUAGUAGGUGAGGUAACGGCUCACCUAGGCGACGAUACAUAGCCGACCUGAGAGGGUGAUCGGCCACACUGGGACUGAGACACGGCCCAGACUCCUACGGGAGGCAGCAGUAGGGAAUCUUCGGCAAUAGACGAAAGCCUGACCGAGCAACGCCGCGUGAGUGAAGAAGGUUUUCGGAUCGUAAAGCUCUGUUGUAAGAGAAGAACGGGUGUGAGAGUGGAAAGUUCACACUGUGACGGUAUCUUACCAGAAAGGGACGGCUAACUACGUG
rnacentral:rRNA from 1 species